ensembl:snRNA U6 U6 spliceosomal RNA
UUGUCUAUAAUUAAUAUUUUGAGACAAAUAUGGUCAAAUUAAAACGAUAUAGAGACGUUUAGCAUACCCCCUGUACAAAGAUAGUGCACAUAUUUGCAAAGCUUUCUAUAUAAAA